ACAGAUGUGAAGGUGCAGGGCCAGGCAGAACUGAGGUGGAGGCAGAAAUAAUGAAGGACUGGGAGGGCAGGAUUGAUACAGGGGUUGAAGACAGAAUUAAUUGCUGGGCAGGGAUGGGCAAAUAUAGGUAUGAUAGCUCCUGCACUGGGGGGCCAAAAUCACCAUACUCAGAGUAUCUGAAAGAGAGGGCAACACUAAUUAUAACACAUGGUGAGGGGGUUACAACCCCAGACUGGAAAGGAAGGGGUUAAAGGAGCUGCUCUGGGCCCAGAAGGUCCCACAGCACUGCAUCCACCUUGAAUGCCCAAACAGGCUGGAGCAGGAGCUUUAUAAGGGAGAGCAGAGUAGCUCAAUAGCAGGCAGACAGAGGAGGUGAGCUAACCUACUAUGCUCUUAGCUCCUGAGGAAGCAGCACCACUGAGCUCUUGCUGCCUGAGACCUGGCAAGAGUGGCCUGAUCAAGCAUGAAAACAAGGUGCCUCUGAAGGCAGAGCCUUCAUCUUUGUGUGUUAGCUCUUUCCUUUACCCUGGGGAAGAGAAGCCAGUGGUAGGAAGCGAUCCAGGGAGGCAGCUGCAGAGCACUUCAGGAUGCAGGUUUAGGUGCCUACCACUUAGCUCUGGAUUGGAGCUUGGUGCAGAAGCAAGGCCUGGGCUCCCAAAGCGAUCUUCAAAGAGGGACAAUUACAGAAGCCUGAUGUGGGGAACCUGGCUGUGAGGAGAAGACGCUGAAGAAAAGAGAGUCUGAGACGUGAGAUCUUGACUCAAUGUGGGGGGAACCCUGAGGACCCUGCUUAAUCCUGAAGGCUCCCCUGUUGCUGGACUCUUUAUACAUGCACCCCAAAGAGAGAGACUUGAAUACCUGACAUGACUAGAGGGCCAAGUCACUGGAAAGACUCACCACCCCAGGACAGAACAGCAGUAAAGAGGACAACCUGCCAUAUCUCUGCUGGGCAGCAGCAUGGUUCAGAAAGAAAGAAAUCCUUCAAGAACUCGGGGAUAGAUCAUCCACAUUUAAGGAAGAACAUUUAUUGGGGGUAGAGGCUCAAGGAGAACAAAUGGAAAACUGGAAGAGACCACAGUGCUGAGAUUUGAGGUGGAGCUUGAUUCCUUUGGGAGUUCAUUGCACUGGCCCCAGCAAAAAACUGUCUUCUGCACAGAUGAGCUCUACCCUGGAUGCGGACAAUUCAAUUGUGUCUGAAGAGUGGAGCUGUUGUCUGCGGCCCUUGUCCUGGAGCUGCAGGUGAUCAUCUAU